rnacentral:rRNA from 1 species
GGGGCUGCCCCUAGUACGAGAGGACCGGGGUGGACAGACCUCUGGUGUAUCGGUUGUCGUGCCAACGGCAGGUGCCGAGUAGCUAUGUCUGGAAGGGAUAACCGCUGAAAGCAUCUAAGUGGGAAGCCUGCCACAAGAUUAAUCUUCUCACAGGGUUAACCUGGUAAGGUUCCCGGUAGACGACCGGGUUGAUAGGCGGCAAGUGUAAGUGCAGCAAUGUAUUUAGCUAAGCCGUACUAAUAGACCGAGGGCUUGACCAUUUGCAAUAU